CCUACGGGAAGCAGCAGUAGGGAAUCUUCGGCAAUGGACGAAAGUCUGACCGAGCAACGCCGCGUGAGCGAAGAAGGCCUUCGGGUCGUAAAGCUCUGUUGUUAGAGAAGAACAUGGGUGAGAGUAACUGUUCACCCCUUGACGGUAUCUAACCAGAAAGCCACGGCUAACUACGUGCCAGCAGCCGCGGUAAUACGUAGGUGGCAAGCGUUGUCCGGAAUUAUUGGGCGUAAAGCGCGCGCAGGCGGUCUCUUAAGUCUGAUGUGAAAGCCCCCGGCUCAACCGGGGAGGGUCAUUGGAAACUGGGAGACUUGAGGACAGAAGAGGAGAGUGGAAUUCCAAGUGUAGCGGUGAAAUGCGUAGAUAUUUGGAGGAACACCAGUGGCGAAGGCGGCUCUCUGGUCUGUUACUGACGCUGAGGCGCGAAAGCGUGGGGAGCAAACAGGAUUAGAUACCCUGGUAGUCCACGCCGUAAACGAUGAGUGCUAAGUGUUAGGGGGUUUCCGCCCCUUAGUGCUGCAGUAACGCAUAAGCACUCCGCCUGGGAGACC
rnacentral:rRNA from 1 species